CGCGCGCCCUGCGAGCGUGGAGGAGAAAGUUAGGCGGGGGAGUUUGUGCGGUCCGACAUUUUGGCUUUGCCUGUCCUGCAUUGAGGGAAGGAGAAUUGUCCGAAUCCGCACAUCAAAUAUGUAGUCAAUGUGCAUAAGUAACAAAAGAUUUAUUUUUUUAUUUUUAAAUUAAAGCAUAAAAGAAAGAGGGCUACAAAAACACGAAACUAGCAGGAUGAGGUUUAAAAUCCUAUCUCCCUUUGCCUUCUGCUUCUAGCUCUGCUUGAGUUGCCCUAGAUCUUUGCAGAACUGUUAAGCCCUCAGUGCUAGGGAACAAGGAGCCUACCAAAUCCCUCUGGUGUGUGCUGAGGCUCACUGAGGUGCCUGGCAGGUGCUGCUGAGGCGCGUGCUGCUGUCCAGCAUAAGGACAGUUGCACAGCACACUGUCUGAGGGCAGCUGCCUUGCAAAGUGGCGGAGGGUAUGGCGAAAGUGGCAUGGCGGAACGAAGUACCAGGCCACACUGGAGCAGGAACUUCGAGGGAAGCCUGAAAGGACGAGCUGUGGAAACAAAGCUUGUUUCUCUGAAAAUGAUGUAUGAUUGAACAGAGACAAAUUAGAAGAGUAUGCAGAGAAAGAAGUCUGGGAAGGGGAGGUUAAAAGGAAAUCAUACGCCCUUUACCACCCCAAUUUGCUCCUCCUGGAAACAUUCUCAGUGAUAGUCUGCAUAGUAGAAGCCUAACAGUUGGAAGCAGAUAAAAAAUAAGGAUGGACAAUGUGUUGUAUAGUGAGCAACAGAAACAAUGGCAAAAUUCAGUCUCAAGGUCCAGUGAAUGGCUGCAUACUUCAAAGACUCUGGGAAUUUCAGACAACAACCAAGUACGUUCUAGUUGCUGUCCAACAACUUUGAGUAUGGAUCUAUGGAAUCAGGGAAGACAAAAACAUUAUCAGGAAUUUCUUCAGAAAACAAGCUUUGGAAUGGUUCCCACUGGCAACUGCAAGGCACUACAGCAGCUUUUGUAUUUACG
rnacentral:lncRNA from 1 species